rnacentral:lncRNA from 12 species
AUGGAUGUGAUGAGGGUGUUGCUGGUGAGUCUCUGUCAAUGUGGAGUAGUGGCAGUGACAGGAGACAUGGACACAUGUGCCCACUCAUUGGCUCCCACUGCAACCUCUUUUGUUAACCAUUUGUCUUGGCAGUCGCCAGCAGCCUCUUCCAGAUGCAUGUGGCCAGAUGAUGCAGCUUUCAGGAAAUUGUCAGGAAGAGGGUAUUCCUGGGGUGGAGUCUUUGGGUUGCAGUUGAGAGCACAGUGGACUGAAACAGGGUAACGAAGCUGAGACUCAGAGGUUUCAACUAUACAGUGAGGAGACGGCAGCAUCGAGCUUGUCUGACUCGGAAGGCCUUUCCACCACACAGAUGGUGUCAAUGGAUCUGCUUGAAUCAUGCGUUUUCUUCUAAGCUUUUUCUAGCCACAAAAUGCAUGUAAGCAGAGGAAAUGGACUUCCUGUCCUUGAAAAGCUUAUCGUAUUAGUGGAAGACGGGAUUCAC